rnacentral:rRNA from 1 species
CAGUAGCCGCGGUAAUACAGAGGGUGCGAGCGUUAAUCGGAUUUACUGGGCGUAAAGCGUGCGUAGGCGGCUUCUUAAGUCGGAUGUGAAAUCCCUGAGCUUAACUUAGGAAUUGCAUUCGAUACUGGGAAGCUAGAGUAUGGGAGAGGAUGGUAGAAUUCCAGGUGUAGCGGUGAAAUGCGUAGAGAUCUGGAGGAAUACCGAUGGCGAAGGCAGCCAUCUGGCCUAAUACUGACGCUGAGGUACAAAAGCAUGGGGAGCAAACAGGAUUAGAUACCCCUGUAGUCCCUGUCUCUUAUAU